GGAAUGUAGCUCAGUGGUAGAGUGUUUGCUUAGCAUGUACGAGGCCCUAGGUUUGAUCCCCAGCAACCA
rnacentral:tRNA from 1 species